CCCGACGUGGGAUUCGAUCCCGGGUCUCCAGGAUCACACCCUGGGCCAGAGGCAGGCGCCAAACCGCUGCGCCACCCAGGGAUCCCAAGCUCCUUUUUAUUUUGAAACUUUCAAAAAGAUCUCAGACAUUCGAAGUGAGUGGGCACAAAUCAGGGUCCUCCUCAGCUCCAACAGCCCGCUAAGGUUGUGCCAACACCACUCUCUUCCUUGGGAGGAACUUCUGGGAACCUCUUUCUCAGGUCAAGUGAUCCCAAGGGGCUACCAAUACACAGGACCCUGAGUCCUUCAUUCAUUCACCAAAUGCAUCCACGGAACCUCUGGCACCUACAGACAGGUAGAGAAGAAGUGCUGUUGGCUCUACUCCUCAAGGAAACAUCUCUUGCUCCAGUUCUCCUUUCCGACUGCCCACCGGCUCCCAGACCUGAGUUUUUCAGUGGCCCCCUCAGUGGACCAGCAGUUUGCUUUCUGCCUGGCCACCAGAGAGGUCUUGAGGCCCAGGGUGGUUGA